AGUCUUGUUGCUAAUUGAUGGAUCUUCCAAUUGAAUCUCUUUGUGGUUUUGAAAUAGAACAGUGCUCGCAUGGUUGAUGGAGAGUCUAGAAUUUGCUUUUAACUUAUAGAUUUUGAGAUAUAUUGUUCGCUUAAGAUUUGAAUUUUUCCAUUGAAUCAUUAGGCUUGAAGAUCCCGACAGUGAAGAAACAAAGGAGUUCGUGCAAAAUCAGGUGGAAUUGACACAGAUCGUUUUGAAGACGUGUGACGUGAGGGAUAAAUUGAAU
rnacentral:lncRNA from 1 species